GACGAACGCUGGCGGCGUGCUUAACACAUGCAAGUCGAACGGAAGGGCCCUGCUUUUGUGGGGUGCUCGAGUGGCGAACGGGUGAGUAACACGUGAGUAACCUGCCCUUGACUUUGGGAUAACUUCAGGAAACUGGGGCUAAUACCGGAUAGGAGCUCCUGCUGCAUGGUGGGGGUUGGAAAGUUUCGGCGGUUGGGGAUGGACUCGCGGCUUAUCAGCUUGUUGGUGGGGUAGUGGCUUACCAAGGCUUUGACGGGUAGCCGGCCUGAGAGGGUGACCGGCCACAUUGGGACUGAGAUACGGCCCAGACUCCUACGGGAGGCAGCAGUGGGGAAUAUUGCACAAUGGGCGGAAGCCUGAUGCAGCAACGCCGCGUGCGGGAUGACGGCCUUCGGGUUGUAAACCGCUUUCGCCUGUGACGAAGCGUGAGCGACGGUAAUGGGUAAAGAAGCACCGGCUAACUACGUG
rnacentral:rRNA from 1 species